UUAAGCUUUUCCAUACUGUUCCUUAAAGGCAGGCUGCCAGUUUUGCAACACCCACUCCCCCCCAAUGCGAAGGGAAAUAAUAAUGGGAGCUAUUAUUAAUCUUAUCCGGAGGGUGCUUGUUUUAAUUCCUUUACCUCUGUAUUGGAUUAUUGCAUACUGCUUCAAGUUUCUUUGCUGCAGUAGUUUUUUUUUUUUUGGUUGGCACACCUGUGUAUGACAAUAUUCUUCAUAUCUUGUUGCUAAUUGGUGUGAUGUUGCAUGUAUCUGAAUCCAUGUGUUUUAUGAAGAGUUACAUAUUUGUCUCUCUUUCUCAAGAAGCUGAGAAGCAUCUUUCAGAGAUGGUUGUCUCUAAAGCGUUGGUAGCAAAGAUUGAUCGGCCAAUGGGUAUAGUCUGUUUCUAGGCAGCAAAGGACAACAAUGACAUUUUGAAUUCGUGGGUUAUGAACUUGGAGAAGUUGCUUGACCUCAUGGAGAAGAGUUGCCACCAAAUCCACAAGGAAACUAUGGUUCACAAAGCUGCCAUGAAAGUUUGAAAAUGCUGAUGGCACUAAUUGCAAGGUGUGCUCUGCUGUGUUUUGAGGACCUAUUGACAGAAACCAAAAUGGGUUGGUCUUGUUGCAGCGGGAAGAGAUUAUUAUGUGCUUUUAUCUGUUUCCUCCAUCCUUCGGCUUUAUUAAAAGAUUGAUUAAAGAUUCCACAUGGCUUCUGUCUUUAAGUCUUUUGUGCUUUUUAUUAGUGUUUUUUCUUAGUUGAUUUACUCAUUGGGAUGAUAGAUUGGUAGUUGUGAUAUGAAAAUUAGCAGGCCUAUGGUAAUUGUUGUCUACAGUAAAAUGAUUUCUGAAUCAGAUGUGGAUUAUGUUUCACUUCUAUAGUUCACAAAGUGGAUAUUUCUUUUUUUGUAUACGGAGGACAACAUUUUUGUAUGAUUACCUGUUUGUAUGGAAUUAUUAUUUUGGGUUAGAUUAUAUUUGGUUUGUAUAGAAUUUGAUGUUACAAGACCAAAUUUUUAGAUGGUUGAAAGUGAAAUAGAAAUAGACAUAUGUAUUGUUUUGUUUA